rnacentral:rRNA from 1 species
GGAAUAUUGGACACUGGGCGAAAGCCUGAUCCAGCAAUGCCGCGUGAGUGAUGACGGCCUUAGGGUUGUAACGCCCUUUUACCCGGGAUGAUAAUGACAGUACCGGGAGAAUACGCCCCGGCUAACUCCGUGCCACCAGCCGCGGUAAUACGGAGGGGGCUAGCGUUGUUCGGAAUUACUGGGCGUAAAGCGCGCGUAGGCGGCUUUGUAAGUUAGAGGUGAAAGCCCGGAGCUUAACUCCGGAACUGCCUUUAAGACUGCAUCGCUAGAAUUGUGGAGAGGUAAGUGGAAUUCCGAGUGUAGAGGUGAAAUUCGUAGAUAUUCGGAAGAACACCAGUGGCGAAGGCGACUUACUGGACACAUAUUGACGCUGAGGUGCGAAAGCGUGGGGAGCAAAC